rnacentral:rRNA from 1 species
CACAUUGGAACUGAGACACGGUCCAAACUCUACGGGAGGCAGCAGUGAGGAAUAUUGGUCAAUGGACGAGAGUCUAAACCAGCCAAGUAGCGUGCAGGAUGACGGCCCUAUGGGUUGUAAACUGCUUUUAUAAGGGAAUAAAGUGAGUCUCGUGAGACUUUUUGCAUGUACCUUAUGAAUAAGGACCGGCUAAUUCCGUGCCAGCAGCCGCGGUAAUACGGAAGGUCCGGGCGUUAUCCGGAUUUAUUGGGUUUAAAGGGAGCGUAGGCCGGAGAUUAAGCGUGUUGUGAAAUGUAGACGCUCAACGUCUGCACUGCAGCGCGAACUGGUUUCCUUGAGUACGCACAAAGUGGGCGGAAUUCGUGGUGUAGCGGUGAAAUGCUUAGAUAUCACGAAGAACUCCGAUUGCGAAGGCAGCUCACUGGAGCGCAACUGACGCUGAAGCUCGAAAGUGCGGGUAUCGAACAGGAUUAGAUACCCUGGUAGUCCGCACGGUAAACGAUGGAUGCCCGCUGUUGGUCUGAAUAGGUCAGCGGCCAAGCGAAAGCAUUAAGCAUCCCACCUGGGGAGUACGCCGGCAACGGUGCAACUCAAAGGAAUUGACGGA